rnacentral:rRNA from 1 species
CCCUUAGAUGUCCUGGGCCGCACGCGUGCUACACUGACACUUACACCGAGUUUUUCCAAUGCCGAAAGGCCAUUGGUAAUCAGCAAUAAGUGUCGUGAUGGGGAUAGAUCUUUGGAAUUAUUGAUCUUGAACGAGGAAUGCCUAGUAAUCGUAGGUCAUCAGCCUACGAUGAUUACGUCCCUGCCCUUUGUACACACCGCCCGUCGCUCCUACCGAUUUCGAGUGGUUCGGUGAACCUUUCGGACCGGGACCGAUGCGGCUUUCGGGCUGCGUCGGUAUUCUGGAAAGAUGUCCAAACUGUAUCAUUUAGAGGAAGUAAAAGUCGUAACA